rnacentral:rRNA from 1 species
ACGAACCGUCCAAACGUUAUUCGGAAUUACUGGGCUUAAAGGGUGCGUAGGCGGCGAGGAAAGUAGGGUGUGAAAUCCCUCGGCUUAACCGAGGAACUGCGCUCUAAACUACCUUGCUCGAGGGAGACAGAGGUGAGCGGAACUUAGGGUGGAGCGGUGAAAUGUGUUGAUAUCCUAAGGAACACCGGUGGCGAAGGCGGCUCACUGGGUCUCUUCUGACGCUGAGGCGCGAAAGCUAGGGUAGCGAACG